ACACAGAGAAAUGCAUUUGGUGUCCGUGGUGUGCUUGAGCGCCCGGGACUGAAACGGGAAUGAGGAACGGCGGACCCAAUCGCGGCGCCGAAGCCUCAACCGCCCCCGCGACUGUGAGCGGCGAGCGGCCUUUCGACACCCACUGAGCGCGCCCCGACCGGGGGGCGUUUGGGAAGGGGAAAGGUCCGCAUCGACCCGCGAGUCAGGAGACCGGCCAGAUGCGUCACAUAUCA
rfam:Alphaproteobacteria bacterium MedPE-SWcel Alphaproteobacteria-MedPE-SWcel-C10, whole genome shotgun sequence.